rnacentral:rRNA from 1 species
GCAGUCGAGCGGUAGCACAGAGAGCUUGCUCUCGGGUGACGAGCGGCGGACGGGUGAGUAAUGUCUGGGAAACUGCCUGAUGGAGGGGGAUAACUACUGGAAACGGUAGCUAAUACCGCAUAACGUCGCAAGACCAAAGUGGGGGACCUUCGGGCCUCAUGCCAUCAGAUGUGCCCAGAUGGGAUUAGCUAGUAGGUGGGGUAACGGCUCACCUAGGCGACGAUCCCUAGCUGGUCUGAGAGGAUGACCAGCCACACUGGAACUGAGACACGGUCCAGACUCCUACGGGAGGCAGCAGUGGGGAAUAUUGCACAAUGGGCGCAAGCCUGAUGCAGCCAUGCCGCGUGUGUGAAGAAGGCCUUCGGGUUGUAAAGCACUUUCAGCGGGGAGGAAGGCGGUGAGGUUAAUAACCUUGUCGAUUGACGUUACCCGCAGAAGAAGCACCGGCUAACUCCGUGCCAGCAGCCGCGGUAAUACGGAGGGUGCAAGCGUUAAUCGGAAUUACUGGGCGUAAAGCGCACGCAGGCGGUCUGUCAAGUCGGAUGUGAAAUCCCCGGGCUCAACCUGGGAACUGCAUUCGAAACUGGCAGGCUAGAGUCUUGUAGAGGGGGGUAGAAUUCCAGGUGUAGCGGUGAAAUGCGUAGAGAUCUGGAGGAAUACCGGUGGCGAAGGCGGCCCCCUGGACAAAGACUGACGCUCAGGUGCGAAAGCGUGGGGAGCAAACAGGAUUAGAUACCCUGGUAGUCCACGCCGUAAACGAUGUCGAUUUGGAGGUUGUGCCCUUGAGGCGUGGCUUCCGGAGCUAACGCGUUAAAUCGACCGCCUGGGGAGUACGGCCGCAAGGUUAAAACUCAAAUGAAUUGACGGGGGCCCGCACAAGCGGUGGAGCAUGUGGUUUAAUUCGAUGCAACGCGAAGAACCUUACCUGGUCUUGACAUCCACAGAACUUUCCAGAGAUGGAUUGGUGCCUUCGGGAACUGUGAGACAGGUGCUGCAUGGCUGUCGUCAGCUCGUGUUGUGAAAUGUUGGGUUAAGUCCCGCAACGAGCGCAACCCUUAUCCUUUGUUGCCAGCGGUUAGGCCGGGAACUCAAAGGAGACUGCCAGUGAUAAACUGGAGGAAGGUGGGGAUGACGUCAAGUCAUCAUGGCCCUUACGACCAGGGCUACACACGUGCUACAAUGGCAUAUACAAAGAGAAGCGACCUCGCGAGAGCAAGCGGACCUCAUAAAGUAUGUCGUAGUCCGGAUUGGAGUCUGCAACUCGACUCCAUGAAGUCGGAAUCGCUAGUAAUCGUAGAUCAGAAUGCUACGGUGAAUACGUUCCCGGGCCUUGUACACACCGCCCGUCACACCAUGGGAGUGGGUUGCAAAAGAAGUAGGUAGCUUAACCUUCGGGAGGGCGCU